UGCGUAGGCGGCUUACUAAGUCAGAUGUGAAAGCCCCGGGCUUAACCUGGGAACUGCAUUUGAUACUGGUAGGCUAGAGUAUGAUAGAGGGGGGUAGAAUUCCUGGUGUGGCGGUGAAAUGCGUAGAUAUCGGGAGGAAUACCAGUGGCGAAGGCGGCCCCCUGGAUUAAUACUGACGCUGAGGUACGAAAGCGUGGGUAGCGAACA
rnacentral:rRNA from 1 species